rnacentral:rRNA from 1 species
ACUCCUACGGGAGGCAGCAGUGGGAAUGAUUGCACAAUGGCAGCAAGCCUGAUGCAGCCAUGCCGCGUGUGUGAAGAAGGCCUCGGGUUGUAAAGCACUUUCAGUCGUGAGGAAGGUGGUAGUGUUAAUAGCACUAUCAUUUGACGUUAGCGACAGAAGAAGCACCGGCUAACUCCGUGCCAGCAGCCGCGGUAAUACGGAGGGUGCGAGCGUUAAUCGGAAUUACUGGGCGUAAAGCGCAUGCAGGUGGUUUGUUAAGUCAGAUGUGAAAGCCGGGCGUCAACCUCGGAAUUGCAUUUGAAACUGGCAGACUAGAGUACUGUAGA